rnacentral:rRNA from 1 species
GACGGGGGGGGGCAAGUGUUCUUCGGAAUGACUGGGCGUAAAGGGGCACGUAGGCGGUGAAUCGGGUUGAAAGUGAAAGUCGCCAAAAAGUGGCGGAAUGCUCUCGAAACCAAUUCACUUGAGUGAGACAGAGGAGAGUGGAAUUUCGUGUGUAGGGGUGAAAUCCGUAGAUCUACGAAGGAACGCCAAAAGCGAAGGCAGCUCUCUGGGUCCCUACCGACGCUGGGGUGCGAAAGCAUGGGGAGCGAACAGG